CCCUUAGAUGUUCUGGGCUGCACACGCGCUACACUGAAGGGAUCAGCGUGUUCUUUUCCUGGUCCGAAAGGAUCGGGUAACCCGCUGAACCCCCUUCGUGGUAGGGAUCGGAGCUUGCAAUUAUUCUCCGUGAACCAGGAAUUCCCAGUAAGCGCAAGUCAUAAGCUUGCGUUGAUUACGUCCCUGCCCUUUGUACACACCGCCCGUCGCUACUACCGAUUGGACGUUUUAGUGAGGAUUUUGGACUGAGCCAAUGGUGGUUCACACCACUGUUGUGCAUGGAAAGAUCUCCAAACUUGAGCGUUUAGAGGAAGUAAAAGUCGUNACA
rnacentral:rRNA from 1 species